rnacentral:rRNA from 1 species
AUUGAACGCUGGCGGCAGGCCUAACACAUGCAAGUCGAACGAGUGGCGGACGGGUGAGUAGUGUCUGGGAAACUGCCCGAUGGUGGGGGAUAACUACUGGCAACGGUAGCUAAUACCGCAUACCAUCAGAUGUACCCAGAUGGGAUUAGCUAGUUGGUGGGGUAAAGGCUCACCAAGGCGACGAUCCCUAGCUGGUCUGAGAGGAUGAACGGCCGCACUGGAACUGAGACACGGUCCAGACUCUUACGAGAGGCAGCAGUGGGGAAUAUUGCACAAUGGGCGCAAGCCUGAUGCAGCCAUGCCGCGUGUAUGAAGGAGGCCUUAGGGUUGUAAAGUACUUUCAGCGGGGAGGCGUUACCCGCAGAAGAAGCACCGGCUAACUCCGUGCCAGCAGCCGCGGUAAUAC